rnacentral:rRNA from 1 species
CCUACGGGGGGCAGCAGUGAGGAAUAUUGCACAAUGGGGGAAACCCUGAUGCAGCGACGCCGCGUGAGUGAAGAAGGACUUCGGUGUCUAAAGCUCUAUCAGCAGGGAAGAAAAUGACGGUACCUGAGUAAGCAGCCCCGGCUAACUACGUGCCAGCAGCCGCGAUAAUACGUAGGGGGCAAGCGUUAUCCGGAUUUACUGGGGGUAAAGUGAGCGUAGACGGCAGUGCAAGUCUGGAGUGAAAGGCGGGGGCUCAACCCCCGGACUGCUCGGGAAACUGUACGGCUGGAGUGCAGGAGAGGUAAGUGGAAUUCCUAGUGUAGCGGGGAAAUGCGUAGAUAUUAGGAGGAACACCAGGGGCGAAGGCGGCUUACUGGACUGUAACUGACGUUGAGGCUAGAAAGCGUGGGGAGCAAACAGGAUUAGAUACCCCUGUAGUC